UACGAAGGGGGCUAGCGUUGUUCGGAAUUACUGGGCGUAAAGAGCGUGUAGGCGGCCAAGCAGGUCCGUUGUGAAAACUGGAGGCUUAACCUCCAGACGUCGACGGAAACCGCGUGGCUAGAGUCCGGAAGAGGAGAGUGGAAUUCCUGGUGUAGCGGUGAAAUGCGCAGAUAUCAGGAAGAACACCAAUGGCGAAGGCAGCUCUCUGGGACGGUACUGACGCUGAGAAGCGAAAGCAUGGGGAGCGAACAGG
rnacentral:rRNA from 1 species